GAUGAACGCUGGCGGCGUGCUUAACACAUGCAAGUCGAACGGAAAGGCCCAAGCUUGCUUGGGUACUCGAGUGGCGAACGGGUGAGUAACACGUGGGUGAUCUGCCCUGCACUUCGGGAUAAGCCUGGGAAACUGGGUCUAAUACCGGAUAGGACGAUGGUUUGGAUGCCAUUGUGGAAAGUUUUUUCGGUGUGGGAUGAGCUCGCGGCCUAUCAGCUUGUUGGUGGGGUAAUGGCCUACCAAGGCGUCGACGGGUAGCCGGCCUGAGAGGGGGUACGGCCACAUUGGGACUGAGAUACGGCCCAGACUCCGACGGGAGGCAGCAGUGGGGAAUAUUGCACAAUGGGCGCAAGCCUGAUGCAGCGACGCCGCGUGGGGGAUGACGGCCUUCGGGUUGUAAACUCCUUUCGCUAGGGACGAAGCGUUUUUGUGACGGUACCUGGAGAAGAAGCACCGGCUAACUACGUG
rnacentral:rRNA from 1 species